CGUGCCGUAAACGAUGGGUACUAGGUGUGGGAGGUAUCGACCCCUUCUGUGCCGGAGUUAACGCAAUAAGUACCCCGCCUGGGGACUACGGCCGCAAGGCUAAAACUCAAAGGAAUUGACGGGGGCCCGCACAAGCGGUGGAGCAUGUGGUUUAAUUCGACGCAACGCGAAGAACCGUACCGGGAGUUGACAUCCCCUGCUCACGCAGGAGACUGCGUUUUUCAUCUUCGGAUGAACAGGGAGACAGGUGG
rnacentral:rRNA from 1 species